UCAGAUUCUACGUCGCGUCAUUCAAGCGCGCGUUUUGCGCAUGCGCAACGUCCACUGCGUAGAAACCAACAACAAACUAUGGCGGACGAACACACUGAUGCCGGGGAGAGCAUGGAGGGACACACUCCUGUCCCAGAAAAUCCCCAUGCAGAAUAUGGCCUCACCGAAAACAUCCAGAGAAUAGCGGAGAAUGAGAAAACUGCUGAAAAAGUGGGCAAACAGAAGGUGGACCCUCAGACGCUGCAGACUCUUCCCACACGAGCGUACCUGGAUCAGACGGUGGUUCCUAUUCUCCUGCAGGGCUUGUCGGUUCUGGCCAAGGAAAGUAGGAGUGUCCUGAGCUGAAGCUCUUUUGGUGUGCUUGAUGUAAAUCCUAUUGGUGUGAAUUUGAGCAACGGAAAAUGCCGUAUUCAUCAUGGGCCUCCAAAUCCCAUCGAGUUUUUAGCGGCUUUCUUACUGAAGAACAAAUCUCAGUUUGAGGAACGGAAUUGAAGGCACAUCAUGGAGGACUUAGGGUUUUGUUUUUUGCGUGUUGUGAAUUUAAAUGUUACGGUAUCACACUUCACUUUUUUUGUUUUGCCAACAUCACUGUAGUUUUUUUUUUUGACUAAUAAAACGUUCAAGCAGCAAUUGA